AGUUUUCACUUGUCACACAGAAGAGACGGGAGUGCGAGUUGCAUUUUUUGUUAUUUUAUUUGUUUUUUCGUUUCUGGGUGCGGCACUUUCUAAUACCCAAGCUGGGGCAGAACAAGCCGUUCGAAUGAGUCAAAAGCGCGAAAAGGACCGAGAAGGAAGCAGGCGCGGAGUGCAGCAGGAGCCGAGAAGCGAGACUCCUGGGAAAAUCUAGUGGUAUGGGUAGGUCAACCACCAGACAUUGAACCCAGCACUCACACACACAGUUGCGCACUCCAACUUCCGUUGAGAGCCAAGAGAGAAACAGAAAGAGCGAUGGGCGUAGGGCGUUGGGGGAUCGCAGGCGUUGGAAGGCACACACGCGAAAAGCGUGCAGCACGUGAAUGGAGCACAAUGCCCAACAGAGACAGAGAGAGAGAGAGAGAGAGACGGCGAAAUAGCAGGGCACUGUCUGCCAUGGCGGGCGAAAGAGAACACGACAUUGGCACCAUGCAGACCGAUUCUCGGAAUACCCUAGAAACAAUUG
ensembl:ncRNA lncRNA:CR45392 long non-coding RNA:CR45392